CGCCCGGCCCGGCCCGCGGCGGCUGCACGGGACAGCCCUCGGAGCGCCGGGCCCCGGCUUCCCCAGGGCGCCCUGAGUUUGCGGUUUGUUUGCCCCGCUUCCGCCGAGGAAGGCGAGCCGGAGCGUGCAGGAGAGAUCUUUCCUGGAUACACCUUAUUAAUUGAUGCUUACGAAGGCAUAACUGAUUCUUCACGAUGGUGCAACAAUUAAACGUGCUUUCUUGUACAUCCUCUCUGCUGAGGCCGUUACCUGGUUAAUCUUUCCAGGAUCACACUCAGUUGUGGGCUAUCGCUGCAUGGAGAGAGGCUGACUGGGCCACCAGGCAGGAUGCUCUGGCAUAACCAGAGGCCACCAAUGACUGGCCUCCUCUUUCAGGAUUCAGCCUUUCAGGAAGAUGGAAUAUGUGUGGAAAUGUAAAUGCAUUGAAUAUUUUUGAUAUCAAUGAGAAAGAUUUGUAUGACGUUUUAGCAGAGUAAAAAUAAAGUUGUAAUAAACCAAGUAAAGUAUUUUAAGAUGAUUCUGAUUCCAGGUGUGAUUCUCCCCUUUGUUCAGUUUGUGCAUGAUCUUGGCUAUUUGUAUCAGAUUAGAAGACCACAAAGAUUCCUCUUUUUCUCUAAAUCAAUGAAUUAAUUUCUUCCUCAGUUCUGAUAUAUAAACUACGUAAUUGGAAAAAUAUUGUAUUACUAUAUUUUGAAUGGCACUUUCUAUCACUUUCUGAGCAGGAGGUAUCUUGAUUUUUUUUUUUUUUUCAGUUCAACAAUAAAGAAUUCAAAUGAUAAUAGCUUACUCUUCUUCCUGCCAUUUUGCAUAUGUGUUUAUAUGCAUGUUCUCCUCACUGUGUUACAUCUGGGCUUUUGGCAAGGGUACAGUUUUCUUGCAGUCCUACAGAAAACAGCACGUUCAAAAUGAUUCUCCAUGAUGUCAUCAGAACAACUUCAGUAAGUGAGAUCAGCUUGGAAAAGAAAGUAGAAGUUACCUGGGAUCUCAGGAAGGGCUGCAUGAGAUUGUCUUGAUUUAUUAGACCAGGGGUUUAUUCUGACAAAUACAGCCUUGGAAUGG